AUUUCAUUAAUGAUCAUAUCAAGAGGUUAAUUUUCCAAUGAGCAAACUGAUUUCAGGAUAACAAUCAUGUCCCUGCAGUUACUUUUCCCUAGGAACGUUUACUUGCAAUAUUUAAGUUUCUUAAUUGCUGUUUUGAGGGAACAUUGAGUUGUAAUUAACAUUUGCUUAAUCUUAUUGUAUUUUUAAGAAAGGCUUCUAUAGAUGAGUUGUUUCAUUUUAAAAGUGUGUUUCUCUAUAUAGUUUUUUUUUUUUUCAUUUAGUUGUUCUGAUGAUUCACUAAUAAGUUGCUUCAUUUUCUGUCACUGUUUUUUCUCAGUGGACUGUAGUGAUGGAGUUAUAUUGUAAUCUUUCCUCUCUUAAUCUCAGCAAGUGCAAUGCAAGUGUGAUUGUGAAAGUAGACCAGAAGUAUAUCAGGAAGAAGGUGUGGUAUACUUUGGAAAAUCGUCAUCCUGUUUUUGAAGUGGAAUCUAUGGACAUAUUCUUUUUUGAUGCUUAGUCAUGUAAUCUUGCAGUUAAUGACCAAUGAUCACAUUGAUCGAUUUGCAUCGAAGUUCGUUGAAGGUGGUGUGCACCAAAUUUCUGGUAUGUUCAUGUUGGUGGUCUUAGUCUGCAUGACAGAUAGUAUAUAUGUUUUGUCGCUUCAACCGAGGUUAUAGAGAGAAUAGAUGAGUUUCCCUGUUAUUCAUUUAACUUGAAAAAUGUUUUUGACAUUUGCUAUGGAAUAUUUGAAGAAUUUUUUUUAUGGUAAGAUUUUGUGAUGAUUUUUUAUUUCUAACCGUUGAAGCCCUGAAGGAAAAUCUGAUUUCUGAAAAAGUUUUGGGUGAUAAAGAUAUUUAUGGACUUUUGAAAUAUUGGAGUUUUGUUAGUCCUAUAAAGCUUAUUGGAGUAUACAGGGAGGAAUUGGAGAUCGUAAGACAUGAGAUGGUCACGUUAGAAGGAUGGUACUAUGGUUUUGAUCUUGUAAGCUUAAUGUGUUAUCCCAUUUGAAUUUACAUACUGAUACUUUCAUCAUUUUGGGGUUAUGGAAAUUAAAUUUUGUCAGUCAGCCGAAGGAGUUGACUAUUAAGCUUCAUGAUGAGUGUGCUGCGAUUACUCUUGCCAAGAUAGAAGCCAGGGGGUGAAAGCUGAAGAUUUUCUGAUUAUAUAAUAUGCUAUUGGCAUGCUUCAUAAGAACGAUGGUGGACCCGUGCUUAGCUCAUUUUCAGGUGCCACAAGAGUGUUAUUUGAUGAUGAUCUUAAGUAGCUGUUGUACUUGUGCACCACGAUUGCUGUCGGGAAUAUUUACCUCCAUAAUAUUUUUCUUAUUUUCUUUUUCUGUGUUGUAUGUAUCCCUCCUCUUUUUAAAUCAUCGGGUAAUUUUUGUGAAGUUCAUGGCCAUGUAAUUAGCAGCAUAUGCUUUGAAAGAGUUGCUCUAAUCUCAUCUUGACAUGAUGUCCCCACAUUAAGUGA